rnacentral:lncRNA from 1 species
CGCUGAUGCAAGAGGCAGGCUCCCACAGCCUUGAGCAGCUCUGCCCCUGUGGCUUUGCAGGGUAUAGCUCCAUUCCUGACUGCUUUCGUGGGCUGGUGUUGCAUGUCUGUGGCUUUUCCAGGCACACAGUGCAAGUUGUUGGAAGAUCUACCAUUCUAGCGUCUGGAGGAUGGUGGCCCUCUUCUCACAGCUCCAAAUUAUAUGCUGGAUAUACAAGAGACUCAUGACCCAAACUGGGACAACAGGAAUGGCUUCCUGGAAGAAGAGACAUCUGAGCCCAGACCUGGAAGAAUAAGAGCCGGGUCUCCUUUCUGAAAAGUCUCACUUCAAGCCAUGGUGUAUAAAGACACAAAGCUGACUUACUGCUGGGUACGUGUGUCCAACAG